rnacentral:rRNA from 1 species
CGGGGUGAGUAACGCGUGGGUAACCUGCCUUGUACAGGGGGAUAACAGUUGGAAACGGCUGCUAAUACCGCAUAAGCGCACAGCAUCGCAUGAUGCAGUGUGAAAAACUCCGGUGGUAUAAGAUGGACCCGCGUUGGAUUAGCUAGUUGGUGAGGUAACGGCCCACCAAGGCGACGAUCCAUAGCCGACCUGAGAGGGUGACCGGCCACAUUGGGACUGAGACACGGCCCAA